CCUACGGGUGGCAGCAGUGAGGAAUAUUGGUCAAUGGUCGGGAGACUGAACCAGCCAAGUCGCGUGAGGGAUGACUGCCCUACGUAUUGUAAACUUCUUUUAUCAGGGAAUAAAGUCGGGCACGUGUGCCUGUUUGUGUGUACCUUAUGAAUAAGCAUCGGCUAACUCCGUGCCAGCAGCCGCGGUAAUACGGAGGAUGCGAGCGUUAUCCGGAUUUAUUGGGUUUAAAGGGUGCGCAGGUGGGUUGUUAAGUCAGGUGUGAAAGUUGGGGGCUCAACCUCAAAAGUGCAGUUGAAACUGGCAGUCGUGAGUAGGGUAGAGGUAGGCGGAAUGCGUGGUGUAGCGGUGAAAUGCUUAGAUAUCACGAAGAACUCCGAUUGCGAAGGCAGCUUACUGGACCGACACUGACACUGAGGCACGAAAGUGUGGGUAUCAAACAGGAUUAGAUACCCGGGUAGUC
rnacentral:rRNA from 1 species